rnacentral:lncRNA from 1 species
AUGUAAAUGUUCCUACGACCUGCCAGACAUUCUGCAAGAAAUGUUGCAAGCACCAACCCCAGGAAGUGACAUAGCACAAGAAGGGCAAAUAUUCCUUGAAUGCCCAGGCAAAGCUGCAUUCUAAUAGGCAACAGAGUAGCUAUGGUGGACAGACUAAGCCUAUUUUUGCAAAAGGCUAAAACUACAAAGAAGUUUGUGCUGAGACUGGAGUAUGUUCACCCAAACUAACUGCAGAUCUUAGAGAAUGCUGGCUGCCUAGUAAGAGACGUAAACAUUUUGAACUUGGAGGCAAUAAGAAGCGGAAGGGCCUAGUGACACAAUUAUAA